CAGCCUGUUCUGUUUCCUCCUUCAAUAUACUUCUGUUUCCAGGUUUUCCUACUAUGUGAAAAACAAAAGACAUAAAGGAACCACUUCCUGUCUUCAGGAAUCAUGUGAUUUCCAUGAGGAAAGUGUAGCAUUGUGCAAGCAAAGAAAAAAAGUAAAUGCUGAAGUGAAUCCUGUGUGACACCGACAUCGAGGACUACAAUUGCGUUUGCUCAGCAGUGGGGAGAAGUGGUCUCUUGGCUUAAGCUAAUGAAGUGUUACGAAAAGAGAGAGAGAGACCUAGAUUCAAGUCCUAACUCAGCCUUUUCCUGGUUCUGUGACUGCCAGGAAAUCAUUCUGACAGAUUUAAGCCUCAUCCGGGCUCAAAGCCAAGGACUCAUGUUCUCGAUUUUUUGUUCCAUCAGUACCUCAGUUCCAGGUGUGAAUUUUUAUUUCAGUUAUUGUUAUGGAACAAGGCACCCUCAAACUUAGUGGAUUAAAUUAGAACCAUCCUGUC